rnacentral:rRNA from 1 species
GAUGAACGCUGGCGGCGUGCCUAAUACAUGCAAGUCGAGCGAACGGACGAGAAGCUUGCUUCUCUGAUGUUAGCGGCGGACGGGUGAGUAACACGUGGAUAACCUACCUAUAAGACUGGGAUAACUUCGGGAAACCGGAGCUAAUACCGGAUAAUAUUUUGAACCGCAUGGUUCAAAAGUGAAAGACGGUCUUGCUGUCACUUAUAGAUGGAUCCGCGCUGCAUUAGCUAGUUGGUAAGGUAACGGCUUACCAAGGCAACGAUGCAUAGCCGACCUGAGAGGGUGAUCGGCCACACUGGAACUGAGACACGGUCCAGACUCCUACGGGAGGCAGCAGUAGGGAAUCUUCCGCAAUGGGCGAAAGCAUGACGGAGCAACGCCGCGUGAGUGAUGAAGGUCUUCGGAUCGUAAAACUCUGUUAUUAGGGAAGAACAUAUGCGUAAGUAACUGUGCACAUCUUGACGGUACCUAAUCAGAAAGCCACGGCUAACUACGUG